rnacentral:tRNA from 1 species
GCCUCUGUGACACAAUGGAUAGUGUGUUGAACUUCUAGGUAAAAGGAGAAAUUUAAAGGUUGUGGGUUCACAUCCCAUUAGAGUCA